CAGCAGCCGCGGUAAUACGAAGGGUGCAAGCGUUACUCGGAAUUACUGGGCGUAAAGCGUGUGUAGGUGGUUGUUUAAGUCUGUCGUGAAAGCCCUGGGCUCAACCUGGGAAUUGCGAUGGAUACUGGGCGACUAGAGUGCGGUAGAGGAUAGUGGAAUUUCCGGUGUAGCAGUGAAAUGCGUAGAGAUCGGAAGGAACAUCUGUGGCGAAGGCGACUAUCUGGGCCAACACUGACACUGAGACACGAAAGCGUGGGGAGCAAACAGGAUUAGAUACCCCAGUAGUCCCUGUCUCUUAUAC
rnacentral:rRNA from 1 species